rnacentral:sRNA from 1 species
UUGCUUCUAAAGCAUUAUGUAUUUUAAAACAGGAGUGCACAAGUAGUAUUCGGCGAAUUGCUUAAAAUAAAAUCAUAUAUUUUAGUUUUUCGUGAAGCAUUAUGAACUUUAAUUCUGAUUGCUCGGCAAACUCGAAGCUGGAAAAGGAGCGUACUUAACAAAACCUAGGAGUUGGCCAAAAAUUAAUCUGACCAAAGCAAAAACAAUGGGCAAACAACAAAUUGUAAGGCACGAAAUACCAAUUGUACUAAUAUAAGGGUGUAUAUGUUAAAGCCAAAGUGAAGUUCGGAUUGGCUUAAACCAGAAUUGUUCCCUUUUUCAUGCAAAACCUUAAUUGAAGCUUUCUAGCUAUGGCCAAAAUAUCAAAAAAGUGUGUGUGCAACUUAUUUUUUGUUUCAGCCGACUUUGACCUAUGCAACAUUUCUAAAGAUUCAUGAAAUCAGGAGACAAGUUUUUACAGAAACAGGUUAUAAUAGUUUUGUGCUCUUCUAUGCGUUACAAGUUUCAUGCAAGAACUCUAAUACUCUUUACAAGGGUAUAAAAAUGCAGAUAGUAGAGAAGUAGGCAAAUCUACGGCAUGUGAGUGAGGCAACGUCAAUUGUUUAAAAGUGAAAAUUCGAUUUUGUGGUAAGGCGGAGUCGACAAAAACAACAACAGCAGACAAAUGGCAUGCAAAAUAAAGAGCAAAAAAAUUGUGCUUUUUAUAGGGUGUGUGAGUGUGUCUGUGUGUGAGUGUUGCCUUUUAGUUUGAAAAGGCUGUUAUUGUUGCAGUUGCUGUUGUUGUUAUUGCUGUUGCCUCGGCAUGCUGAUGCUUUGUGUCAAUGGGUGGACAGUUAGUUGUAUGCAUGUGUUUGUGCGCGUAUCUGUGUUGAUGUGGCCAAAAAAUAUACACAACAAUCGUGCAAGCAACACACUCACAAGCACACAACAACAAAGGGAGCAGAGUUGGGCUGGAAUCGUCAAAGACACAGCCAGCUGUUGAACCCUGGAUGAGGCAGCAUCAUGCUGCAUGUACAAAAAAAAAACAAGAGGGAAGGAUGCAAAAUCUAGCAUUGGGCAGGUGGAGCAGGAGCAGUAGCAGGACUAACAAGAAACGUAACGAUAACGAAAAACAAACUUUAAAAAUUGGAUUCUUCAUUUGCAUCGGCAAAUCCAAUCAAGCCAACGUAAAGACCCCGGCCAGACACAUGCACAACAUAAAGUCGAUGCAGAGCCAUGGACCAGGCGGCAGACGUGGUCCAAAAGCUUGCAAAACCCCACGCGGUUCGGUAUAAAAGUUGGCCACGGCACCAGCACAUGCAGACAAAAAGAAAGAAAAAGAGAGAG